UGGGGAAUUUUGGACAAUGGGCGAAAGCCUGAUCCAGCAAUGCCGCGUGUGUGAAGAAGGCCUUCGGGUUGUAAAGCACUUUUGUCCGGAAAGAAAUCCUUGGCUCUAAUACAGUCGGGGGAUGACGGUACCGGAAGAAUAAGCACCGGCUAACUACGUGCCAGCAGCCGCGGUAAUACGUAGGGUGCAAGCGUUAAUCGGAAUUACUGGGCGUAAAGCGUGCGCAGGCGGUUUGCUAAGACCGAUGUGAAAUCCCCGGGCUCAACCUGGGAACUGCAUUGGUGACUGGCAGGCUAGAGUAUGGCAGAGGGGGGUAGAAUUCCACGUGUAGCAGUGAAAUGCGUAGAGAUGUGGAGGAAUACCGAUGGCGAAGGCAGCCCCCUGGGCCAAUACUGACGCUCAUGCACGAAAGCGUGGGGAGCAAACAGGAUUAGAUACCCUGGUAGUCCACGCCCAUAAACGAUGUCAACUAGUUGUUGGGGAUUCAUUUCCUUAGUAACGUAGCUAACGCGUGAAGUUGACCGCCUGGGGAGUACGGUCGCAAGAUUAAAACUCAAAGGAAUUGACGGGGUCAUAGCUGUUUCC
rnacentral:rRNA from 1 species